rnacentral:rRNA from 1 species
UGGUGGGGUAACGGCCUACCAAGGCGACGACGGGUAGCUGGUCUGAGAGGACGACCAGCCACACUGGAACUGAGAUACGGUCCAGACUCCUACGGGAGGCAGCAGUGGGGAAUAUUGCACAAUGGGCGAAAGCCUGAUGCAGCGACGCCGCGUGAGGGAUGACGGCCCUCGGGUUGUAAACCUCUUUCGGCAGGGACGAAGCGAAAGUGACGGUACCUGCAGAAGAAGUCCCGGCUAACUACGUGCCAGCAGCCGCGGUAAGACGUAGGGGACGAGCGUUGUCCGGAUUUAUUGGGCGUAAAGCGCGCGUAGGCGGCUAUGCAAGUCGGUUGCGAAAUCCCGGGGCUCAACCCCGGGACUGCGUCCGAUACUGUGUGGCUAGAGGUAGGUAGGGGAGAUCGGAAUUCCUGGUGUAGCGGUGAAAUGCGCAGAUAUCAGGAGGAACACCGGUGGCGAAGGCGGAUCUCUGGGCCUUACCUGACGCUCAGGCGCGAAAGCUAGGGGAGCGAACAGGAUUAGAUACCCUGGUAGUCCUAGCCGUAAACGUUGGGUGCUAGGUGUGGGCGGAUAU